GCCGGGGGCGACCCGGCGCCAGCAGUUUCAGGCCAGGAGCUCGCGGCGGUGGGAGAGGAAGGCGGGUACCUGAGCCUCCCUCCUCAGGGUUACCCGAAGGUGGGGAGGAAGGAGGAGGAGGGCGGCAGGGGAGCAGAGGGGGCGCUUGUCAUCCAGGUGGGGGGCAGGUGUAAGGGGUGUGUAGCGCCGCUGUUUUCAGAGUGGGUAAGAAUUCCCUUAACAUGCCCGCCUCCGAGGACUGAGGAACAAUGAACUGGCGAGACAGCAUUACUUAGAUACGGAUGCAAGGACUGGGCCAGGCGAGGACUCGCGACCCUAACGUUAGUUGAACCCUCAUCAGGAAUUGAGCGUGUAGCCGUUUUGAGGGCUGCCGCCAUCUCGGGCACCACCUGGCGCUCUGUGUGGGGGCGAGGACGAUAAGGGAGGCCCUGCCCCGGUCGGUCUACAGCAGCGCACUGGAGACUGAAUUAUCGCCCGUGCAACAGAAGGUACUUUACUGCAGGAGGAGAUGCGCAAGGCUGUGAGUUAACUGUACUUCUGGUGUCUUCAUCGUGGCCCGUCCAGGACAAGGGCUUCAUACUGCGACACCUUCGGCCAGAUUGAUUUGACCUCUUCAACUUAGCAGCUGGGCACGCUCGGUCAAGCUGCGUGACCUAAGGCCUCAGUUUUCCGUGCUGUGAAGCCGAGAUGCAUGACACAAUGCAAGCAUACAAGUACAGCACCUGUCACCUUCAAGGUGUGUUCGUUCAUGCUCAUACAGUUCAUUUGGGACCUACCACUUCUGGGUCCCUUGCCUUAACAGUAUCAAUUCUCAUCUAAUUACACCUCUUUCUUCCCCCACAUGCAAUUUAAUCAGCCUUCCCCCAAACUUCUCUACCCAACCCAGAAAGACCCUUCCUGGGAGGCCAUAGCUAUUUAUAUGUGAGCACUUCUAAAGACAUGGCUCCAACUUCCCUCUUUGCCACAGAAAUAUUGUUUUCUAUGGAUUGGAAAAAAGAAAAGUCUCUGACUGUGCAUAUGUGAUGAGGAGACAGCUGAGUGUUUAGGAUUCUGUUUUGUGGCUGUGAUGUCAGAAAUAGAUCUCAUGUACACACAUUGCUUCUUCUCCCCUCUCCUAUAAUACUAUCUGACACAGACACUUGCUUUCUCAUUUCAUAGAACAUUGACCGCUACAGGCCCUGAGAGUCAUUAUAGACAAAGUCUGUAUGGCAGCUGUCACUCUUUACCCACCUAGGGACCCAAGUUGAAAACCCCACUAGUCAUUGCUGAUGUCUUCUUUCCCCCAACAUAUAUCCAGUCGGUAGCAUCCUCCUGAUCUGUUGAUUUUACUCCCAAACAUGUGUAGACCCGGCCCCUUCUCCCUCACCGCUGUACCUGCCUUAUUUAGCUGCUUCCAGCCCUGCCCACCGUUGUGCUCCUCCAGGUUACUGGCCACACUGCCGUCCAAUUCAGUAGGAAAUUAACUUCAAAUAAAACACGAUUCCAGCCCUAAAUCUACUCCUCAUAAACGUCUCUAUAGCUUUCAGAAUAAAGUCCAUAUAUUUUUGAUUUUUUUAGAGAGAACGCGCUAGAGUGAGCGCGGGUGGGAAGGGGGUAGGGCAGAGAGAGAGAAUCUUAAGCAAGCUCCACACCCAGCACGGGGCCAGACGCAGGGCUCCAUCUCAUGACCUGAGAUCAUGACCUGAGCCAAAAUCAAGAGUCACUUAACCGACUGAGCCAUCCAGGCACCCCAUAAAGUCCAUAUUAUUUAACAAAACAUAUAAAAUCCAUUAUGAUCCGGCACCAAGCUACUUUGCCAGCCUCAUCUCCCGCCACUGGGCCCCACGAGCCCUCACUCGUCCCUUAUCAAACCAGCUGCCGUUCCUUCCUGUAAAACAACAGAGCCAGCCUCUUGUUCGUUGUUUUAUCCUUCGCGUGGUACCCAGCACACAGGUGCUCAAAUACUGGUGAAUUAAUAAUUACCCUUUUUAAUUAAUUAAUAAUUGCCCUUUUUUUCUCAUGAAAUAUUUUAGACUUUAUCAGAGUAUUUUAUUUUUUAAUAUAUUAUAACCGAUAUUUAUUGUACAGAAUGCAGAAAAUGCAGCAAAUUGGAAGAGGAAAAGAAGCCACCUGGAAUCUCACCAGUCGGGAAUUGAGCUGUUGAUAUUUUUGUGUAUUUCCUUCUUUAAUUUUUCUAAAGGGCCAUUUCCAGGCCUCAUCGACGCAGUCUCUGUGUCUCAUGUGGUAACGCCGGUUGUGCUGGCCAUUUUCCAUGAUGUCUGUGUGACUUCCCUGUAUCCUGUUCUCUUUCUUGGCUGGCUCCUCUUCUGCUGCCAGCCCCCUCAAUUAUGGUGUUUCCAGACAUUCCAUCUUAAACCCUUCCAUUUUCUCAUUCCACGUGCUUUCUCUUUGAGUGCUCUCACUCAUGCCCAAAGCUUCAGCUAGCUCUAUUUGGCGUUAGCUCCAAAGUCUGUAGCUUCUGAGGGCUUGUUGCAUUACCUCCUAGAUGUUUCUCAGGUUCAACAAAUUAUGCAUGUCUAAAACUAAACUGAUCACAUCUUUCCCAACAACCUUGUAUAUUUGUCACUUCACUGACCCACCAGCAAACUGGCAGGCAUCACUGACUCCUGCCUUUCCUGAGCCCCCUGGAGCCCCCUGAGGCAUGGGUACUGUUUCCAAUUUUUCAGGCCCCUGAACACAUAAAGCGUAAAAUGAAUUUCACUCUGUUCUUAUAACCUCGAUGACCUAUCGCUACAGACCAAAAGUGUAAAUACGCCCCCAGAAUCCAUGUGGUAUUGAUACACAGUCAAGAAAUAUUUCUUAGCCCUUUGAUGAGAUACAUACAGUCAUAAAUCACUGUGGAAAAUGGACCAGUAUAGCAAAAUAUAACCUUUUUGAAAGUCUCUGAAAAAAGUAACCUUUGCCAUACCAAAGAAAUCUGACCAGACACCUUGAUCUAAUACAAAAACCAUUGUUCAAGCAGUCUUAUAUGAUGAAACCAGAGUGAUCUCCUGAGUGAGGCUGCUCAUGUUCACCUGUGGAAUGGGACCUUCUAAAGAAGAUCUACCUACGUGCGUUAGGACUGAUUUCUUUUCAAGGAGGCUGAGGAAGAGUGGUGAUUAGUUGGACAUGUACUGAUUGACCUUGCCCUGAAGGGUUUCAACUAAGGAAGAAGUUUAAAGAUACGUUCAAGGUUAACCCCUUUCAGAUGGGUUUUUCAUUUAUUUUUCUAACAAGAAUAGUUUCAUAAAAUAAUCAUUCAAAUAGCAAACAUUUAUGAAGUGCCCCCAAACUCUUCUCAGCACUGGGAAUACGGCACCUAACCAAACACAUGGGAAAUCUCUGGCUCCUGAGUAGGGUUCCUACAGUCUAGUAUUUAGGCACGUUAAUUUCCGUUACAUCAUCCCAGUACCCCAGCAUCCCCUCCAUCCGUAACCACAGCCUUUAGAAAUGUACGUUAGGGGCGCCUGGGUGGCACAGCGGUUGAGCGUCUGCCUUCAGCUCAGGGCGUGAUCCCGGCGUUCUGGGAUCGAGUCCCACAUCAGGCUCCUCCACUAUGAGCCUGCUUCUUCCUUUCCCACUCCCCCUGUUUGUGUUCCCUCUUUCACUGGCUGUCUCUGUCUCUGUCAAAUAAAUAAAUAAAAUCUUUAAAAAAAAAAAAGAAAUGUACGUUAAAGUUAAGAAUGUGCAAUACAAUGGCUCUCUCACUAAACUGUUAAGUAUUUAUAGUUAUGAUUAAAUCAGUAGCCCAUCAUCCAUCUGUCAAUUGAUGCCCAAUCUUCUCACCUUAUCAGUUCCACUCUGUCCUGGCCACAGAGGCUCUCCCCCAUGGUGCUAUAAUUCAGGGGAUUAUAAAAUCAUAGAAAAUGAAUAUUCCACACUUGCAAGAGCAGUUGGACCAAUACAGAGGCAUAGACUAUAGUCCUGAACUCCAAAGAAUAUUAUUGUGAAGUCCGCAUUGAAUAUACAGUCGAGUUAGAUUUUAAUUGAGACAAUAGAACUGUUAAUGACAUUGAAAAAGCCACGCAAACAAUGAAUCAUGGAACGUUACAUCAAAAACUAACGAUGUACUCUAUGGUGACUAACAUACCAUAAUAAUAAAAAAAAUAAAAAACCUUCAAUCAAAGUUCAAGGAUCAGAAGCAUCAGGUUGGAGAAAUUCUUAACUAUUACGUCAUGUAAUGGUUUCUCCCACUUUACUAGAGACUCUGAAAUGAGGUUCAUUUUGUUGCAAUUAUCCUCUGAAAAUUAUGAAUUUCAAUUGAGUGAUCUAUUGCCCAGUCCUUAGUAAUAAAUAUUAAUUUUGUCCUGUUCUGAUGAAGUAAGGGAAAAAAUAUUCUUUAAAAUUGCCAGGAUAGGGGUGCCUCGCUGGCUCAGUCAGUGGAGGGUGUGACUCUUGAUCUCGGGGUUGUAAGUUCAAGCCCCCCAUUUGGUGUGGAGAUUACUUAAAAUCUUUUAAAGUAAAUAAAUAAAGGCAAAGAAAAUUGUCAGGGUAUUUGUGUUGGGGUGGGGAGAAAGAUAUUAUCUUGUCUAAAAGGAAGGUUUACAAUUCUGUAAACUUUAUACAUUGCUUUUUGCUAAAAUUUUGCUAAAGUAAAUAAAAAUCUUUUUUAAAAGGCGGGGUGGGGCCCUGGGUAGCUCAGUGGGUUAAGCGUCGGCCUUGGGUUCAGGUCAUGAUCCCAGGGUCCUGGGAUCUAGUCCCACAUCUGGCCCCUUGUUCGGCGGGGAGACUGCUUCUCGCCCUGCCUACCACUACCCUGCUUGGACUCUCUCUCUCUCUCUCUCUCUCUCUCCCUCACUCUCUCUCUGGCAAAUAAAUAAAUAAAAUCCUUAAAAAAAAAGUCAGAAGGAAAAGGCAUCCAUAGUUCUGUCUUGAGGUUCUUUAGAAAGAAUUACUAUAAUAGUUUCAAGUAUUAAAAAUAUUUUAAAUGAGAAAUAAAUUUCAAGUUUUUGACAUAAAUUCAGUAAACCACACAAUUCACUGGAUCUGGAUAUUUGAAGAAUUUUGUGUUACAGUUUCCAGUCUUUCUCUGUCAGCUCCUCACUUCCAGCGUAUGAAGCUCGAUGACACUCAGCCUGUUCUCUUUCUUCCCAAACGUCCCCGCAUUCUAAAUGACAUCCCUUCGUUCUAUUUGCAAAUGUUUGGAAAUUUGCCAGUCAGAAAGACAGAAGAGUGUCAUGAAACAAAGUGUUGCGAGUGUUUUUAAGUCUCUGACUUCUUCCAAAAACUUCCCCUCCGCUAAAUCCAAAAUGUGCGUGACAGUUGACAACACAGGACUCUUGGCGCUGCCUCCUUGGCCUCUGAGGCGAGAGGGCGACAUUUCGCAGGCCAUGCUGUGGACACUCAAGCUGCUGGGAGGGCUGUAGGAACAAGGCAAGCCCUGGUCUCCGGAGCUUACAUUCCAAACAACCCAACCAAUAAAGCUACAGAUUUGUCUUGGUGUUUUUGAAGGAAAUAAACAAGAGCUUUGACUGAAAAUACUGGAGGGUGUAGGUGGUCAAGGACUGUUCCUCGGAGAAAGUGACAGGUAAUCGGAGAGAAAAAAGAAAACACAACCAACUGUAAGUGGAAAACCACUAAAGAUUGAAGGAGAGAAAGAAUACAGACACCAAGCGACGGGAGGCAGUUGUGAGCGUCCAUAGAGCAGAGCCGACCAUCUUAGAGCUGUCUUUCAAGCACAUUGUUGGAGCACAUUGGAUUGUGUGGUCUGGGACUGCCUGCCCUCUGCAGGGCUGUGCUCGGCAGUUUGGAAGAGACAAGGAGGAAGGAGGCGUGGUUCCUGACCUUAGUGCAUUUGCAGACUCCAUUGGGAGACAGGGUUCUCCACACCCAGAUGGAAAUCUCUUUCCCUGUGGUACUUCAACUGAUUCCUUAGAAAUAAAAGAAUAAAGUUACAGUCGCCAGGUCAGUGCCUGGGGAUGUGAAUUUCUUGGCCGCUCUGAGGGCGCGCAGCAGUGGGCAGCUGGUACAAUGCUGGUGAGGAACCUAUUCAUGGCCAUGUUCAGGACGUCCAGAAGAAUAGUUUCAACUUACUUAUCAACUCAGCAUUCCACUCACAGAAUGACCCAUUUUUCUGAGAGACUUAGACCAAACCAGUAUUCCCGGGUUUUGGACCACCAAAGAAGGAAGGAAGUGCACAAAACUAACCUUUACUGAAGCUACUCCGAGCCAGGCACUCUGCUGGAUGCUUAACCGCCCUAUCACCCUGAUAGGUCAUUGCCCUUGAGGUUGAGGCCCUAAUUGCGUGUGAGUAUUCUAUCAUCUCUGCCUGGUCUGCUGGAGCAGGCUCCUUACUGCCUAGGCUUCGGUUUCCAGACAGCCCAUUCUGGAUUCAGAGGCACCCGGGUGUGAUUAAAAUAGAUCGCUUCGCUUUCCUUCCUCAGCCCCUUCGGGCAUUUCCCACAGCAAUUAGAAUGAAACCCACACUCCCUUCAAUGGCCUACAAAACCUCAGCAUGGGGUCCGGCCCGCACCUACUUAGCUCUGUCUGGCUUCAUCCCGGAGACCCUCCUUCCCCCUCCCUCCCGGUGCCUCAGCUCAGGGGGCCGCCCACAGCAGCCCACUGGCAAAGAGCUGACCACCUGUUUUCGGAGCAGCCCCUGGGCUAAGAAUGGAUUUUACAUUUGUAAAAGGUUGGAAAGAACUGGAAGAACAAGAUUUGGUGACACGUGGAAAUGACAGGCGAUUCAAAUCGCAGAAUUCAUAAAUAAAGUUUUAUUGGAACCCAGCCAUGCUCAUUCGUGUAGGCAUUAUCGGGGCGGCUUUUGUGCGACAAAAAGCUGAGUAGCUGCCGCUCACAAAGGCUUAAAAUCUCUACUAGGUGGUCCUUGGCAAGAAAAGUUUGCUGGACCCUGUUUUAGUGGCACUGGUCUCCUUUCUGUUCCUGAGACUUGCCCUGUGCGUUCUUUCCUCAGGGCUUUCUAUUUCCUGUUCCCUCCUCCUGGAAUGUUCUCCAGCUCUCCGCAUGGUUGGUGUGUUCUCACAGGGUCUCAUUAUCAUGGACAAAACCAGCAGAAAGUCACGUACUGUUUGAUUGUAUCUCUCACCUACAAAAGGGUCAAUCUCCCAUCCCUGGAUAAAGAGAUUGGAUUUCAGACUUGUCCCUUCCUGUCUGGCAACGAAAAGGAAACAAACUUUUUGGAGGCCAGGGUCGGCUCUGGACUCCACUGACCUGAUGAUUC